UACGGGGGGGGCAAGCGUUGUUCGGAAUUACUGGGCGUAAAGGGCUCGUAGGCGGCCAACUAAGUCAGACGUGAAAUCCCUCGGCUUAACCGGGGAACUGCAUCUGAUACUGGAUGGCUUGAGAUUGGGAGAGGGAUGCGGAAUUCCAGGUGUAGCGGUGAAAUGCGUAGAUAUCUGGAGGAACACCGGUGGCGAAGGCGGCAUCCUGGACCAACACUGACGCUGAGGAGCGAAAGCCAGGGGAGCAACGGG
rnacentral:rRNA from 1 species